rnacentral:sRNA from 14 species
AUGUUAAUUUGUAAAGAAUCAGUAAUAUAUAUGCAAAAAACAAUCAAAAGGAUCACAUCUUUGGAGACAGCAUUUAUCGAGUUCCUCGCUCAAUUACGUACUGUCUGUUUUUGCCGUGUUUGCCGUGAAUCAUAGGGCUACAAUAAUUCAGUUGGAAAGAAACAACAUACAGAUCUAAGCAAGUA